GUGUCAGCAGCCGCGGUAAAACGUAGGAUCCGAGCGUUAUCCGAAUUCACUGGGCGUAAAGCGCGUGCAGGCGGUUCGGUAAGUUGGAUGUGAAAUCUCCCGGCUCAACUGGGAGAGGUCGUUCAAGACUGUCGGACUAGAGGACGGUAGAGGAAGGUGGAAUUCCCGGUGUAGUGGUGAAAUGCGUAGAUAUCGGGAGGAACACCUGUGGCGAAAGCGGCCUUCUGGGCCGUUCCUGACGCUCAGACGCGAAAGCUAGGGGAGCGAACGGGAUUAGAUACCCGAGUAGUCC
rnacentral:rRNA from 1 species